ACAGAAGAGGAAAGGGAAGGGGAAGAAGAAGAGGCAUUUAAGGUCUCCCAUACUGAUGCAUCACUGUGCUGGAGGAAGGGACAUGAGGACGGGCAGGACCCACUGUACUGGAAAGGCAGUGUGGGCUCAGAACAUCUGUUGUGGGAGGCCCAGCCUAGCUAAGGACAGAGAGGCCCAGCGCUCUAUCGACUGAGCCACCUAGCUGCCUCCAUCCUUGCUACUUGACUGAAAUUAUCUUCUUCAAGGUCACCCGUGAUCUCUUCAUUGCUAAACCCUGUGACUGUUCUCAGGCCUGGUCUUCCUUGACCUCUGUGUAGCAUUCGACACUGUUGACUAGGCUCCAUUUCUGGAUGCAGGCACUCUCCUCUGUGCAGCUUCACAACAUUGCUCUGUUAUGGUUAUCUUCCUACGCGUUAGCCUGAUGCUUCUCACAGAUCCUUCUGGACGUAAGAGGAAUCCACUAGAGAUUUUUGAACAAGAGAGUGAUAUGAUCUCAUCUUUGUCCUGGCUAUGACUUGAAGGAUGGACCAGAGAGGGAAGAGAGUGGAGUUGGGCUACUCCAGUGGUCCAGGUUGAGGAGUAUCUGGAGAUGGAAUUGAAUGGGUAAUAACCUUGUGAACUUCAGAAGGUCAGAUGAACUGUGAGAAUCCCCUCAGCAACCAGUUGGUAGCAGAGACCACUGAAGUUGGCAGCAGCAGCAGCCAGGUCCAGCAGCUGAUGUACCUUCUUGACCCAGCCCAGCAGGGGAUUGAACCAUCAACUGAGAAAUUGUGUCCUGAAAGGAGCCAGCCCACUUAACAAGUUAACUUGUUUAUCAAGACACCACACUUUGAAGCAAACUUGAUGGAGACACUCUGAAGGUGGAAAAAAAAAGUCUUGGAGCCAGGUGUAAUGAGGUAAUCCUAUAGGCUCCAUGUACUCCCUAGUAUAUGCCUCAUAACCUUUAAUUUUGAUUGAUACCAAAUUUUGAGCCUACUCUCCUCGUGGACUUUGUGCAGAGAGGAGGAUGUGCCCACUCCACUUGGGGGGAAUGUUCUUGUAAACUUCUUUCUAUGACUUCACAAUAAAUGGCCUUUUGUAAAAGCUAA